rnacentral:tRNA from 1 species
GGCGUUUAGCUCAGCUGGUUCAGAGCAUCUGCCUUACAAGCAGAGGGUCGGCGGUUCGAAUCCGUCAACGCCCACUCCA